rnacentral:rRNA from 1 species
UGAACGCUGGCGGCGUGCCUAAUACAUGCAAGUCGAGCGAACAGACGAGGAGCUUGCUCCUCUGACGUUAGCGGCGGACGGGUGAGUAACACGUGGAUAACCUACCUAUAAGACUGGGAUAACUUCGGGAAACCGGAGCUAAUACCGGAUAAUAUAUUGAACCGCAUGGUUCAAUAGUGAAAGACGGUUUUGCCGUCACUUAUAGAUGGAUCCGCGCCGCAUUAGCUAGUUGGUAAGGUAACGGCUUACCAAGGCAACGAUGCGUAGCCGACCUGAGAGGGUGAUCGGCCACACUGGAACUGAGACACGGUCCAGACUCCUACGGGAGGCAGCAGUAGGGAAUCUUCCGCAAUGGGCGAAAGCCUGACGGAGCAACGCCGCGUGAGUGAUGAAGGUCUUCGGAUCGUAAAACUCUGUUAUUAGGGAAGAACAAAUGUGUAAGUAACUAUGCACGUCUUGACGGUACCUAAUCAGAAAGCCACGGCUAACUACGUG